GCCGAAGGGGAGGGGCAGGCUACCAUGCAAGUCGAGCGGAGAGACGGUAGCUUGCUACUGAUCUUANNGGCGGACGGGUGCGUAAUGCUUAUGAAUCUGCCUAUUAGUGGGGGACAACAUUUCGAAAGGAAUGCUAAUACCGCAUACGUCCUACGGGAGAAAGCAGGGGAUCUUCAGACCUUGCGCUAGUAGAUGAGCCUAAGUCGGAUUAGCUAGUUGGGGGGGGUAAAGGCCCUACCAAGGGGACGAUUCUGUAGCGGGUUUUGAGAGGAUGAUCCGCCCCCCUGGGGCUGAGACCCGGGCCCCAGACUYCUACGGGGAGGCAGCAGUGGGGAAUAUUGGACAAUGGGGCGCAAGCCUGAUCCCAGCCCAUGCCGCGUGUGUGAAGAAGGCCUUUAUGGUUGUAAAGCACUUUUAGGCGAGGAGGAGGCUACUUUAGUUAAUACCUAGAGAUAGUGGACGUUACUCGCAGAAUAAGCACCGGCUAACUCUGUGCCAGCAGCCGCGGUAAUACAGAGGGUGCAAGCGUUAAUCGGAUUUACUGGGCGUAAAGCGCGCGUAGGCGGCUAAUUAAGUCAAAUGUGAAAUCCCCGAGCUUAACUUGGGAAUUGCAUUCGAUACUGGUUAGCUAGAGUGUGGGAGAGGAUGGUAGAAUUCCAGGUGUAGCGGUGAAAUGCGUAGAGAUCUGGAGGAAUACCGAUGGCGAAGGCAGCCAUCUGGCCUAACACUGACGCUGAGGUGCGAAAGCAUGGGGAGCAAACAGGAUUAGAUACCCUGGUAGUCCAUGCCGUAAACGAUGUCUACUAGCCGUUGGGGCCUUUGAGGCUUUAGUGGCGCAGCUAACGCGAUAAGUAGACCGCCUGGGGAGUACGGUCGCAAGACUAAAACUCAAAUGAAUUGACGGGGGCCCGCCACAAGCGGUGGAGCAUGUGGUUUAAUUUCGAUGCAACGCGAAGAACCUUACCUGGCCUUGACAUAGUAAGAACUUUCCAGAGAUGGAAUUGGUGCCUUCGGGAACUUACAUACAAGGUGCUGCAUGGCUGUCGUCAGCUCGUGGUCGUGARAUGUUGGGUUUAAGUCCCGCAACGAGCGCAACCCUUUUCCUUAUUUGCCAGCGAGUAAUGUCGGGAACUUUAAGGAUACUGCCAGUGACAAACUGGAGGAAGGCGGGGACGACGUCAAGUCAUCAUGGCCCUUACGGCCAGGGCUACACACGUGCUACAAUGGUCGGUACAAAGGGUUGCUACCUAGCGAUAGGAUGCUAAUCUCAAAAAGCCGAUCGUAGUCCGGAUUGGAGUCUGCAACUCGACUCCAGAAGUCGGAAUCGCUAGUAAUCGCGGAUCA
rnacentral:rRNA from 1 species